AAUAAAUGUAGCCAUGAGUUUUUAUGUCCAACUUUGAUCGUCCGUCUUAUUUCAAUUUUUUAUUAGCAUUUUUAUUGUUAUUAGAUUAUAAAAUAUGAACAGUACUUUCUGCGUGACUUAUAUUUUUUAAUUUUUUUUCAAAAUAAAUUUAAAUAAGAUGGACGAUUAAAGUUGGAUCCGAGUCUUUUACCCCUAUG
rfam:Oryza glumipatula chromosome 9, whole genome shotgun sequence.